rnacentral:lncRNA from 1 species
UUUUUUUUUUUUUUUAAAUAAAGAAGUGUCUAUGCUAAGGGGGUAGAUGAAGUGGUUCUUGGUAGGAUGCUGUAAUUUCCUUUACCUUUAAAAGAAAGAAGUUCAGUCUACUGAGUUUGAUAUGCAUCACAAGUGCAGUCUAAUUGCUACCUGUGGUGUGGUUUUUGUUGUUGUUGUUGUUGUUGUUGUUGUUGUUGUUCCUGGAUAAAAAUUAGAACAGUCAACUAUAUCUACCCCCUUUUCAGAUUCAUAAGCUGAAACGUUUGUUUUCUGAGUUUGAUUGUUCUCAAAUUCCGCUUCUGAGUCUAGGCUGGACGUGCUCUAGCUCAUGUUUUGUAUUUAGUUUUUCACGUCAUGACGAUUAUAAUACUGGUGUUGCGCCGGGCGUGAUGGCGCACGCCUUUAAUCCCAGCACUUGGGAGGCAGAGGCAGGCGGAUUUCUGAGUUCGAGGCCAGCCUGGUCUAGGACAGCCAGGGCUACACUGCCUCAAAAAAAAAAAAAAAAAAAAACCUAAAAAAAAAAAAGGAUUACUUUAUUCUAUGAAACCCACUGCAUAAGUAAGCCAUCCACAAAGAUAAUACUGUGUUGCAUUAAAAUAUUCAUAGAGAUGUCAGUUAAGUGUAGCUUAGUGUUAUUUACAUGAGUGAAUUAAUUUUGCAAGACUUAGUUUUCUUGAUCCUUGUUGAAUAAUUUUUUCUAAAAAACUUGGUUCAUUCAUUAAUUCAUUCAUUUGUUCACUCUUCAUUCAUUCCCUAGCACUGUGGGAGGUGUAGGACAUAGAAAGUCCCUGUUCUCACAGAACUUUGUAUAGUUAACUAGCAAACACUCUUUUAGAAGGGAUGUUUAAAUUAAUAAUUGGAAACAAAUUUCUGGCUGGAAGCGUUUUCAUUUUUUUCUAGUAUUUACAUUGGUUGUAUUGAUACCUCAUGUCUGGCAUAGGAUAUAGAAAGUCUACAUACAAAACAUUUUUAUAAAGAGCCUAUAUGGUAACAGAAUAAACUUUUUACUCUAAUACAUCUUUCUUGAGGAUAGUUUGUAUAAGUACAGUUUUCAACUUUGAGAAAGUGAGUAUGCGCAGUUAAAAUUUUAGCUCAUGAACAUCUCCAGAAAUAAAUGAAGAAUUACAGAGGAGACAAUAAGGAAUCUGAGAAUUCCAAAUCUGAAAACCCAAAAUAUGAAGUACUCCCAAAACUUCAUUACAAAGAACUUGUAAAUAAAUGUCAUGAGGAACAAUGAGCCAUAUCUGAAGUCUCCACCUCAACGGAGGUAUUAUACAGUUAGAGAAUUCUGAAACUGUAGAGCUUUACGUUGAAUUUUACAUUUUCACUAGCACAUAUAUUUUAACUCACUUAUUCCCC